AUUGAACGCUGGCGGCAGGCCUAACACAUGCAAGUCGAGCGAGCGGCGGAAGGGUGAGUAAUGUAUGGGGACUGCCCGAUAGAGGGGGAUAACUACUGGAAACGGUAGCUAAUACCGAAUACUAUCGGAUAACCCAUAUGGGAUUAGCUCGUAGGUGAGGUAAUGGCGCACCGAGGCGACGAUCCCUAGCUGGUCUGUGUGGAUGAUCAGCCACACUGGGCCUGAGACACGGCCCAGCCUCGUACGGCGGCAGCAGUGGGGAAUAUUGCACAAUGGGCGCAAGCCUGAUGCAGCCAUGCCGAGUGUAUGAAGAAGGCCCUAGGGUUGUAAAGUACUUUCAGUCGGGAGGCGUUACCGACAGAAGAAGCACCGGCUAACUCCGUGCCAGCAGCCGCGGUAAUUC
rnacentral:rRNA from 1 species